AUUGAACGCUGGCGGCAGGCCUAUCACAUGCAAGUCGAACGGUAACAGGAAGCAGCUUGCUGCUUCGCUGACGAGUGGCGGACGGGUGAGUAAUGUCUGGGAAGCUGCCUGAUGGAGGGGGAUAACUACUGGAAACGGUAGCUAAUACCGCAUAAUGUCGCAAGACCAAAGAGGGGGACCUUCGGGCCUCUUGCCAUCGGAUGUGCCCAGAUGGGAUUAGCUUGUUGGUGGGGUAACGGCUCACCAAGGCGACGAUCCCUAGCUGGUCUGAGAGGAUGACCAGCCACACUGGAACUGAGACACGGUCCAGACUCCUACGGGAGGCAGCAGUGGGGAAUAUUGCACAAUGGGCGCAAGCCUGAUGCAGCCAUGCCGCGUGUAUGAAGAGGGCCUUCGGGUUGUAAAGUACUUUUAGCGGGGAGGAAGGGAGUAAAGUUAAUACCUUGGCUCAUUGACGUUACCCGCAGAAGAAGCACCGGCUAACUCCGUG
rnacentral:rRNA from 1 species